rnacentral:tRNA from 1 species
GCCUGAGUAGCUCAGUGGUAGAGCACCUGUUUUGUAAACAGGCGGUCGUCGGUUCGAAUCCGACCUCAGGCUCCA